UGCCCUGGUGCAGGUAUUGGG
rnacentral:miRNA from 1 species